rnacentral:rRNA from 1 species
GUCCGUGGUCGAAAGGGAAACAGCCCAGACCAACAGCUAAGGUCCCCAAAUGACGACUAAGUGGAAAAGCAAGUCGGAUGUCCAUAACAACCAGGAGGUUGGCUUAGAAGCAGCCAUCCUUUAAAGAAAGCGUAAUAGCUCACUGGUCUAAACAAGACGUCUGGCGGCGAAGAUGUAACGGGUCUUAAGUCGUCUACCGAAGCUUUGGACGCAACUUUGUUGCGUGGUAGCGGAGCAUUCUGUAAGCCUGCGAAGGCCAACCGCGAGGUUGGUUGGAGGUAUCAGAAGUGAGAAUGCUGACAUGAGUAACGAGAUGAGUGUGAGAAACACUCACGCCGAAAUCCCAAGGGUUCCUGUUUUAAGUUAAUCUGAGCAGGGUAAGCCGGCCCCUAAGGCGAGGGCGAAAGCCGUAGUCGAUGGGAACCACGUUAAUAUUCGUGGGCCAGUGGAUGUGUGACGAAUUCCGUAAAUUGUCUGGUCUUAUCGGAUUGAUCGGGCAAUGAAGGAGUUCCAGGAAAUAGCCCCCACAUUAGACCGUACCCUAAACCGACACAGG